rnacentral:rRNA from 1 species
AACGAACGCUGGCGGCAGGCUUAACACAUGCAAGUCGAGCGAGGACUUCGGUUCUAGCGGCGGUCGGGUGAGUAACGCGUGGGAAUGUGCCCUUCUCUACGGAAUAGCUGUGGGAAACUGGGAGUAAUACCGUAUACGCCCUUUUGGGGUAAGAUUUAUCGGAGAAGGAUCAGCCCGCGUUGGAUUCGGUAGUUGGUGGGGUAAUGGCCUACCAUGACGACGAUCCAUAGCUGGUUGGAGAGGAUGAUCAGCCACACUGGGACUGAGACACGGCCCAGACUCCUACGCAGGGCAGCAGUAGGGAAUCUUAUACAAGGAGGGCAACCCUGGUCAAGCCAUGCCGCGGGAGUGAUGAAUGCCUUAGUAUUGUAAAGCUCUUUCAGCUGGGAAGAGAAUGACGGUACCAGCAGAAGAAGCCCCGGCUAACUCCGUG